rnacentral:rRNA from 1 species
AUUGAACGUUGGCGGCGUGGAUUAGGCAUGCAAGUCGUACGGGUCGGUGUAGCAAUACAACGGCAAGUGGCGAAAGGGAGAGUAACACGUAGAUACCUACCCUCUGGUCGGGGAUACCGCGGCAUAACCGCAAGUAAUACCCGAUAAAAUCUCCGGAUCAAAGGUGUGAUUCCGCCGGAGGAGGGGUCUGCGUUCUAUCAGCUUGUUGGUGAGGUAAUGGCUCACCAAGGCUAAGACGGAUACGGGGUGUGAGAGCAUGCCCCCGCUCACUGGGACUGAGACACUGCCCAGACACCUACGGGUGGCUGCAGUCGAGAAUCUUCGGCAAUGGGCGCAAGCCUGACCGAGCGACGCCGCGUGCGGGAUGAAGGCCUUCGGGUUGUAAACCGCUGUCGAGGGGAAUGAAGUGUAGGUGGGUACUCUCAUCUAUUUGACAGAUCCCUGGAGGAAGCAUGGGCUAAGUUCGUGCCAGCCGCCGCCGUAAGAC